rnacentral:lncRNA from 1 species
UUAGGAUGAUAUUAGUUCCUUAAGGUUGAGAGGUCCCCCUAGGGUUGAGUGGUCCCCACUGGGUUAAAAUAUUUAAUCCAAUAAUUAGAAAUGAUCAAAGAAAUUAAUCCAAAUGCUAAAAACUUGAUAGCAAAAAGAGACAAAUACUAUUAAUAGUAUUCUAACCAAACUUUCUCUCUCUCUCUCUCUCUCUUUCUCUUUCUCUCUCUAUAUAUAUAUAUAAAAUUGAGCUCCUAUGCUUUUAAAAAUACCAA